rnacentral:rRNA from 1 species
AACGAACGCUGGCGGCAGGCCUAACACAUGCAAGUCGAGCGGACAUCUUCGGAUGUUAGCGGCGGACGGGUGAGUAACGCGUGGGAACGUGCCCUUUGCUUCGGAAUAGCCUCGGGAAACUGGGAGUAAUACCGGAUGUACCCUUUGGGGGAAAGAUUUGUCGGCAAAGGAUCGGCCCGCGUUGGAUUAGGUAGUUGGUGGGGUAAUGGCCUACCAAGCCGACGAUCCAUAGCUGGUUUGAGAGGAUGAUCAGCCACACUGGGACUGAGACACGGCCCAGACUCCUACGGGAGGCAGCAGUGGGGAAUCUUAGACAAUGGGGGAAACCCUGAUCUAGCCAUGCCGCGUGAGCGAUGAAGGCCUUAGGGUUGUAAAGCUCUUUCACCGGGGAAGAUAAUGACGGUACCCGGAGAAGAAGCCCCGGCUAACUCCGUG